rnacentral:lncRNA from 1 species
UUUAGACUGGGAGUUGCUGAUCGAAUAAAUGUCCUCCACAAAACAUUGGAUGAACUUACAUUAUUAGAUGCGGGUGGAGAGAAAUUUGAUAUGUUAAUCAGUAACCCACCUUACAUUCCUCACAAAGAAAUGGCUUUUUUACAAGAGGAAGUGAAAAUCUAUGAACACCAUGAUGCAUUAGAUGGUGGAUAUGAUGGUUUGGAAGUUAUUCGAUCAAUUUUAAGAUCUGCACAUAAGUUUGUCUGUUCU